rnacentral:rRNA from 1 species
UGGGGUAUAUUGCACAAUGGGAGCAAUCUUGUCGCAGCAUUGCGGCGUGAGCGAUAAAGUCUUUGGAAUGGUAAAGCUCUGUCGUCAAGAAAGAUAAUGUCGGUGUUUGAGGAGGAAGCGCGGGGUAUAUAUGUGCCACCACACGCGGUAUUAUGUAGGGGUCUCGAGUUUUCUCGAUUUUUUGGGCGUAUAGGGUGCGUAGGCGGUCUUUCAUGUCUGGAGUUAAAGGCUACGGCUCAACCGUAGUAAGCUCCUGAUACUGUCUGACUUGAGUGCAGGAGAGGAAAGCGGAAUUCCCAGUGUAGCGGUGAAAUGCGUAGAUAUUGGGAGGAACACCAGUAGCGAAGGCGGCUUUCUGGAUUGUAACUGACGCUGAGGCACGAAAGCGUGGGGAGCAAACAGGAUUAGAUACCUUGGUAGUCCACGCUGUAAACGAUGAGUACUAGGUGUCGGAGGUUACCCCUUUCGGUGCCGCAGCUAACGCAUUAAGUACUCCGCCUGGGGAGUACGCACGCAAGUGUGAAACUCAAAGGAAUUGACGGGGACCCGCACAAGUAGCGGAGCAUGUGGUUUAAUUGGAAGCAACGCGAAGAACCUUACCUAGGCUUGACAUCCUUUUGACAAGAGGAUUAAUCUCCUCUUUCCCUCCGGGGACAGAAGUGACAGGUGGUGCAUGGUUGUUGUCAGCUCGUGUCGUGAGAUGUAGGGUGAAGUCCCUCACAGAGCGCAACCGUCGUCUCUAGUUGCCAUCAUUGAAGUUGGGCUCUUUAGAGAGACUGCCAGGGAUAUACCCGGAGGAAGGUGGGGAUGACGUCAAAUCAUCAUACCCCUUAUACCUAGGGCUACACACUGCUGCUACAAUGGGUGGUACAGAGGGCAGCCAAGCCGUGAGGUGGAGCAAAUCCCUUAAAGCCAUUCUCAGUUCUGGAUUGUAGGACUGAAACUCGCCUCCACGAACCCGGAGUUAAUAGUAAUCGCAGAUCAGAAUGAUGCGGUGAAUGAGUUCCCGGCUCUAGCACACACCGCCCGUCA